UGGUCAUUAUAGCAGAGACACAUAAAUAUUACGGCCAUUGUUCGGAAUGACGCCAUUACAGUGACCAAAGGCAAGAAAAAUUUAUAUUUAUAAUAUAAAAAUGGUUAUUUAUUGUUGCAUUUGCAUUUUAAAUUACAAAUAUUUAAGAGAAAAUAGAAAUAUUAUUUGGCUAAAAGCAUAUUUUUCGUACUUUUUCAGCAGAACCCGAUGUGACAAGCAAAAUGGACAACUGUACAUCUUACUAUCGAAUGAAAUAUCUGUAAAUUAUCAAAUUGCUAUCAAGUAACAUAUUCAAACAAAUAUCAAAUUUACUCAAUAUCAACAACCAUUCAAUUAAUUCGAAAAUUCAUUUUCAAUAGCUAAACAAUUAAAGCAGGGAAAUCGCUCGUUGCAGAACUAGUUUGCACUUGAAGCUUUUCUCGAUAAGAGUCAUGAGCGGCCACCAUAUAAAAGUACAUUUAAAAAUGAUUGGCGCCUUACCAAAUUAUAUUCCUAACACUUGAAAAUCUGCUGGAUAUAUCGUUUCCAGUUGUCGUAAAUUGGACAAUAUGAGAAAAUCCUUUCAGUUAACGUGCCUCUCUGAUCGCUUUAAAACAAAAAAUGCUGCUGACCUUAGCUCAACUAUAAAAUAAUCUUAGUUCAGUCAGGGUUCGUAACUUUCACCUUACAAUACUGUUUGCAUAUUUGCGCAUCCGUUUCUAAUAGAGUUAACACAUUAUGAAAGAAACAAAAAAAUAAAUAAGUAAAUAAGCAUAUAGAUAUUGCAAAUAAUCGUCAUAAUCCGGAUAUAUAACCCACACUUUCCAUUGGCUUAGUAGAUUCAAUCUCAACAUAAAAAAA